GUGCAAAAGUAACUGUGGUUUUUCCCAUUGAAAGUAAUGGCAAAAACUGCAAUUACUUU
ensembl:miRNA